rfam:Ixodes scapularis strain Wikel colony gcontig_1108378901378, whole genome shotgun sequence.
GCAGUCGUGGCCGAGUGGUUAAGGCGAUGAACUAUAAAUCCAUUGGGGUCUCCCCGCACAGGUUCGAAUCCUGUCGACUGCG